CAGUUUGCUUCAGCCAAGGCUGGAAUUAUACUGGUGUCACUGAACCCAGCCUAUCAUGUGGAAGAAGUGGUCUUUACUCUACAAAAGGUUCAAUGUAAAGCUGUGUUGUGUCCCACCAGCUUUAAAACGCAAAACUUUUGUGAGAUGCUGAGAGAGAUCUGCCCAGGAAUCGACA